rnacentral:rRNA from 1 species
UAGUCACGCUGUAAACGAUGUCGAUUUGGAGUUUGGGGGCAUGACCCUUGGGCUCCGGAGCUAACGCGUUAAAUCGACCGCUGGGGAGUACGGCCGCGAGGUUAAAACUCAAAUGAAUUGACGGGGGCCCGCACAAGCGGUGGAGCAUGUGGUUUAAUUCGAUGCAACGCGAAGAACCUUACCUGGUCUUGACAUCCAUAGAAUCUUUCAGAGAUGAGAGAGUGCCUUCGGGAGCUAUGAGACAGGUGCUGCAUGGCUGUCGUCAGCUCGUGUUGUGAAAUGUUGGGUUAAGUCCCGCAACGAGCGCAACCCCUAUCCUUUGUUGCCAGCACGUAAUGGUGGGAACUCAAAGGAGACUGCCGUUGAUAAAGCGGAGGAAGGUGGGGACGACGUCAAGUCAUCAUGGCCCUUACGACCAGGGCUACACACGUGCUACAAUGGCGUAUACAAAGGGAUGCGAAGGUGCGAACUGGAGCGGACCUCACAAAGUACGUCUAAGUCCGGAUUGGAGUCUGCAACUCGACUCCAUGAAGUCGGAAUCGCUAGUAAUCGUGAAUCAGAAUGUCACGGUGAAUACGUUCCCGGGCCUUGUACACACCGCCCGUCACACCAUGGGAGUGGGUUGCACCAGAAGUAGAUAGCUUAACCUUCGGGAGGGCGUUUACCACGGUGUGGUUCAUGACUGGGGUGAAGUCGUAACAAGGUAACCA